UACAGAGGGUGCAAACGUUGUUCGGAAUUACUGGGCGUAAAGCGCGUGUAGGCAGCUCGGAAAGUCGGAUGUGAAAGCCCUGGGCUCAACCUAGGAAGUGCAUUCGAAACUUCCGAGCUGGAGUGCUGGAGAGGAAGGCGGAAUUCUCGGUGUAGAGGUGAAAUUCGUAGAUAUCGAGAGGAACACCGGUGGCGAAGGCGGCCUUCUGGACAGUUACUGACGCUGAGACGCGAAAGCGUGGGGAGCAAACAGG
rnacentral:rRNA from 1 species